rnacentral:rRNA from 1 species
UACGUAGGGUGCGAGCGUUGUCCGGAAUUAUUGGGCGUAAAGAGCUUGUAGGCGGUUUUGUCGCGUCUGCUGUGAAAAUCCGGGGCUCAACCCCGGACUUGCAGUGGGUACGGGCAGACUAGAGUGUGGUAGGGGAGACUGGAAUUCCUGGUGUAGCGGUGAAAUGCGCAGAUAUCAGGAGGAACACCGAUGGCGAAGGCAGGUCUCUGGGCCACUACUGACGCUGAGAAGCGAAAGCAUGGGGAGCGAACAGG